rnacentral:RNase_P_RNA from 1 species
CGAGUCGGCCGGGUGAUCGCGGCGCGCGAGCGUCGAGGAAAGUCCGGACUCCACAGAGCAGGGUGGUGGGUAACACCCACCCGGGGUGACCCGCGGGAAAGUGCCACAGAGAACAGACCGCCCCUCCGCGAGGAGGGGUCAGGGUGAAACGGUGGUGUAAGAGACCACCAGCACCCCCGGUGACGGGGGUGGCUCGGCAAACCCCACCCGGAGCAAGACCAAGAAGGGCCACGGCCCGCGGACGCCGUUCGAGCGCUGCUCGCGCGAGGCGUCCGGGUAGGUCGCACGGCAUCGCCGGGUUCUCCCGGUGGACCGGAGGCCGCCGGCGACGGCGGUCACAGAUGGAUGAUCACCGCCCCCACGGGGGCACAGAAUCCGGCUUACAGGCCGACUCGUCCC